rnacentral:lncRNA from 1 species
UGUCUUUCCACAAGUCUGUGAGGUAAAUGUUUUCUUAUUUAUUUAUUUAUUUAUUUAUUUAUUUAUUUAUUUAAAGAUUUUAUUUAUUUUUUCAUGAGAGACACACACAGAGAGAGAGAGAGGCAGAACACAGACAGAGGGAGAAGCAGGCUCCGUGCAGGGAGCCUGAGGUGGGACUCAAUCCCCGGUCUCCAAGAUCAGGCCCUGGGCUGAAGGUGGCGCUAAACCGCUGAGCCACCCAGACUGCCCCCAAAUUUAUAUUUAUUGAUGGGAAAACUAAGGCUUCAAAAGGUUCACUGACAUGUCCAAACUGAACAGCGAGCAAGUGACAAAGCCAGGAUCUGAACCCAAGUCUGUCUGCCCUGGGAGCCCGAGCCCCUGGCCUCUGUACUGCAUGAGACAUGGUGACCCAGGCGGUAACCACUUAGCAGUUCUGUAGAAUCUCCAUCUGACAUGUGUGUGAGGCCCAUUCUGGAGAUCUUAGAAAGCACCACAAAGAAAAACCAGACUUUAGGAAUAAACAGAAACACAACAGGAUCGCCCCUGGGAUUUGCUUGUGCACCUCUCUUCUUACUGAGCCAUCUCCUCGAUGCAGAAUUUCUCCGUAUCUUCCUACCUGCCCUGAUGAUUCCUUCUAGGCACUUUGCAUGGUUCUCCAUGGAAACUUUCUCUUUCCACAAUUGCCCAAGCCUGCAAGUCCCUGGGAAUGCAGCUGCCAGUCAGCCACGCAGUGUGAUUCUUACCAGCAGCCAUUCCAGCUAAGAAUCAGAAACAGUAGAAGCCACAGAGGGAUGGAUCGUGUCUCCCAUCUCCACCAAGAGCAGCCAUUCCCAGGGUGAGACUGCUCAGGCCCAGGGAGGACCCAGGGAGGACAGAAGAUUCGAGAUUCGCCAUCUAGUCUGAGAAGGCUGUGGGGCUGGCGCGGAGCUCAGUGCAGCAUGAGACAGGCAGACAGACACACAGAGAGCACCACGGAACAACAGAAAACAACUUACUCAUAGACUCUGAUCUUAGACAGUCUCCUGGUUUUCCUGAGCACUGCACUGUUGCUGCCUUCUUGUUCCCCAAACAACUGUGAUUUUG